rnacentral:rRNA from 1 species
UACGAAGGGGGCUAGCGUUGUCCGGAAUCAUUGGGCGUAAAGAGCGUGUAGGCGGCCCGAUAAGUCCGCUGUGAAAGUCGGGGGCUCAACCCUCGAAUGCCGGUGGAUACUGUCGGGCUAGAGUACGGAAGAGGCGAGUGGAAUUCCUGGUGUAGCGGUGAAAUGCGUAGAGAUCGGGAGGAACACCAGUGGCGAAGGCGGCUCGCUGGGCCGGACCUGACGCUGAGACGCGAAGGCGUGGGGAGCGAACGGG